GCGGCUAUAAGUUAAUGGUAAACCCGACGUCUUCCAAACGUUUUAUGUCGAUUCGACUUCGGCUAGCCGCA
rfam:Geomyces destructans 20631-21 mitochondrion, whole genome shotgun sequence.